CUCUAAUGCUUUAAAGGCAUAUUAAUUGAUAUACGAAUCUAGGACAUGGGGAGAAUUAAGACUAUUACCUUGUGAUAGGCUACAGGGGAAUAUGUUUUAGUGUAGGCCUAAUUACCAAUAGGCUAUUGAAAAAGAAUUUGGACAGUUUAUUUUCGUUCGAAGUCAAUCACUGCAUUUCUUACAAUGGAGUCGACUGCAGCAUAGCAUUACACUACAGAUUUAUGCCAGUUGGCCAGGGAUAUAAAUGAUUACAAAUUCUAUAUAUUCAAUACCAUAAAUCCCAAGAAUUAUAAUAAGUGAAGUUUGUGUUAGUUACCGUGCCGCUCAGACGAAUGUCCUGUUGUGUGUAGCCUACUGCUCAGAAAGAGCAUCCUUUUAAAUGCUUUCGUUUUUUUAUAAAACAAAUUAGGUGUAAAAGUAUAAAGGUAUAGGCAUAUAGGUCAUUUUUCUAUAGCCUACAAGCAGUAGGCCUAAAGAAAGGCCUUUUAUUAGAAUACAUGUAUUCCUUUUAAAGUGUCAGUGAAGUGAAAUCGUUCUUGGGAGUUCUAGAAGUUUCCUGAAGAAUGCCAUAGUCCUACUCCAUUUAGUUGCUGAUUCGAGACCUGUUUGCAGAUUGACCAUUCAACUAUUUGAACUUUAAAUUAAACGAAUAGUAAACUGUUUUUUUAUUCGAGGAAGUAAGACUACCCUACAUAAAAAUAUUUAAAAAACAGCGCCUAAGAUUCUCAUUUUAUUUUCUGUUGCUAUAUAGCCUUUAGCAAUCAAUAAAACGUUUAGUAUUAGGUUAUUAAUAUCCUAUACGAAUUUAAAACCUCGGUCUGCAAUCAGAUAUUAUUGAAUUGGUUAGUAUAGUCUAUGCACAAUAUUUAGCAGUAAGAAUAAGGUAGAUAUUAAUAGUGCCGGCCUACAUAUAAUCAUGUGUACAGGCAUAUAGACCACGCUUAAUUCAAUUCAGGUUACUGUAAGUAUGGAUUUCGAUUAUAUUAGUCUUGUCUAGAAAUAUAGCGUCUAGACGGUCGCUUUUGCCUAAAUCUGGUUUGGGAAUUCUAAUUGUGUCGUUAUGAGCGUUAAUAACCCAUCUCUGUAGUGGUAUGUCACUAUCUGUAGAGCUGAGAUUAUCGAUCCAUGUGCCUCUGUCUCCACCAUAAACCACAGCAUAUGAAAUAAACGAUAAUAAUGUUAUGCUGCACUUUAGUAACGGCCCCCGUAAAACCAUGGAAUGUUGGAAGCUAUGCCCUGUAGACUACAACCAAAUAGUCACUAUUCAGCUUAGGAUAUUUGUAGUAGGCUUAACCUUUGCUCCAUAAUCCUACUAUGUUACGCAUACUCAUCAGCAUUCACAUAGAGAGAGGAGAGGCAGAGGCCUACUCUAUUAAUAAUUGGUUGUUGGAUUCAACACUAUAACCUAAUGCCGACUGUAGGAUAUAUAUGACUGUGAAUAUGACCCAGAGUCAACAGAAUACAACAGCAGUCUGUGGAUAAUGAAUCAUUAAUACAGACAGUCUCCACGGUGCAGCCUGACCGACCGACCCAAUGGAUGCCGCGGCGGUGUGUGUGUGUGUGUGUGUGUGUGUGUGUGUGUGUGUGUGUGUGUGUGUGUGUGUGUGUGUGUGUGUGU
rnacentral:lncRNA from 1 species